rnacentral:tRNA from 1 species
GCACCCGUAGUAAAACGGAUAUUACGUCGGUCUCCGGAACCGAAGGUCCAGGUUCGAUUCCUGGCGGGUGCA